GCAUCAAUUUCUUGCUGGAGAGGUCACCAGAGCUCGAGGUAAGCUCGGCUCCUCUUCCUCCCUUCUCCCCCUUCCUUCUCUUGCCUGUGUGCAUGAUUACUGAUGACCGAGUUCGCCAGAUUUUGUUGGAAAAAAUGUCUCCUAUUUUCCACCCCUCUUUUCUUUGAUUUUUUGACGCCGGUGGUCACCGCCGACCAUCGAUUUGGGUUCUCUGGGCUGCGGUGACAUAGUCCUCUUACCACCGACCACCACCGCACUGGCUGCGGCCUCUGAUCAGCCGAACAAGGGAGGGACCUCAUGGUCCUCUGUUUUGCCCAAAAGAGACCACA
rnacentral:lncRNA from 1 species